ACGUUUAUCACCAAAUCACCGUGAACUAGAAAACACUCCCUUCUCAAAGGACGAACGAGGAAGCCAGGGUGGAUUGCGGAUCAAAGAUGGAAUAACCGGGCACGGCUUCGGCUAGCACGGCUCUAUCUCGCAUUGCCAAUCGUUCUAGGGGUCUCGAACCUCAAUCCGAUGUGAAGUGUCAUUGCGACCACCUGGCAGACUGCAUUCCCAGUCUCUCUUCGGGGAGGCUUAGGUCUAAGCAGCGUCUGCCGAAUCCUUUCACCACAUUUUUUAACCCCUUUAACCACAUACUAAUAACUGAACCUUUUUUAUUCUUGAUCUGCUUUAUUGCAGUGAUAGAUUAAAAGAUAUACGUAAUGCUGAACAACUCUUAGCAAUGGAUAUCUUGGUUCUCGUAACGAUGAAGAACGCAGCGAAAUGCGAUACGUAAUGCGAAUUGCAGAAUUCAGUGAAUCAUCAAAUCUUUGAACGCAAAUGGCGCUCUCGGGAUAGGCCCGGGAGCAUGCCUCUCUGAGUAUCGGUUCUAUCAAUCAACGACAGCGUGCUUGUAAAAGCAUUAGCUGGGCAGUUGGAAAAUGAGCGUCUGGUUGCGCAAGCUAACCAGUCACUUUAAACAGAUAGAAGCUUGGAUCGCACUAGAAGGCGCCGACUGUCUUCGGACAGUAGGCUAGCAAGUCUCCGACUGGCUGUCUCCUUUACUAGUGACGUGGAUAGAAGUACCACUUGCUGGUCUUUCAAAACGUCUGCUGGUGUUGGUGUUUGGCUUGGAGUUCGUGUGAAAGUCUAGGUACUGUGAUUCAUGUCUUGUCAUCGAAUUCAAGCAUGUUCUGUUUCGGCAGCAUGUUUCUUUGAAUUAGAUCUCAGAUG
rnacentral:rRNA from 1 species